rnacentral:rRNA from 1 species
GUGGGGAAUUUUGGGCAAUGGGCGAAAGCCUGACCCAGCAACGCCGCGUGAAGGAUGAAAUCCCUCUGGGAUGUAAACUUCGAAAGUCGGGAAAGAAAUCGCCAUGGAUAACAACCGUGGUGGAUGACGGUACCCGACGUAAGCCCCGGCUAACUACGUGCCAGCAGCCGCGGUAAUACGUAGGGGGCAAGCGUUGUUCGGAAUUACUGGGCGUAAAGGGCGCGUAGGCGGCAUGGCAAGUCGGGAGUGAAAGCCCGGGGCUCAACCCCGGAACUGCUUUCGAAACUGCCAAGCUAGAGUACGGAAGGGGCAACUGGAAUUCCCAGUGUAGCGGUGAAAUGCGUAGAUAUUGGGAAGAACACCGGAGGCGAAGGCGGGUUGCUGGGCCGAUACUGACGCUGAGGCGCGAAAGCCAGGGGAGCAAACGGGAUUAGAAACCCGAGUAGUCC